rnacentral:misc_RNA from 1 species
UCUAGGCUCCAUUUUUUUUUUUUUGGGGGAAAAUAUUUUCUACAUUUCCUAGUAUUUGGGCACUCAGAAAAUGGCCAACGGAAACUAUUUUUUUGGUCAAAGGAAAAAUUAAACCAAUUUUAAGGAAAUUGACUUUCAUAACUUUGACACUCUUAUUAAAAUGUGAAAACACUUGUACAUAUAUGAUAUAAACACAUACUAUUAGUUUAACACUACAACCCUUAAAAAACAAUUUCAGUAGAAAACAUUUUUCAUAUAUAAGUUAUUUUCCGCAAAAUAAAUGGAGCCCUAAUUGAUGAAAAUUUUCCCUCAUAAUGUGUGCUGGGACAGGGACACAAGGAAUACUUGAGAAACCACAUGUUACCG